CUUGGAGUCACCUGCAAAAGACUGCUGCCUUUCCUGUCGGUAUCCACCAGUGCAAAGGCUCUGUAGUACAGUAUGUGGCAGUGUAAAGCUUGUUCUGAAUCAACUACAAGUAGGAAUGAACUUCUUUCUCACUAUAAACUUAAAC